rnacentral:rRNA from 1 species
CACGUAGGGCGCAAGCGUUGUCCGGAAUUAUUGGGCGUAAAGAGCUCGUAGGCGGCUUGUCGCGUCGGCUGUGAAAACCCGCGGCUCAACUGUGGGCGGGCAGCUGAUACGGGCAGGCUGGAGUUCGGUAGGGGAGACUGGAAUUCCUGGUGUAGCGGUGAAAUGCGCAGAUAUCAGGAGGAACACCGGUGGCGAAGGCGGGACUCUGGGCCGAUACUGACGCUGAGGAGCGAAAGCGUGGGGAGCAAACAGG